rnacentral:lncRNA from 1 species
AUUAAACAAACAAAUAAAACAAAUCCAAAAUUAUAGUGUCCAGUCUGAUUAUUAUAACCCGAAAUAAAAAGGGUACUGAAAAGUAAACUUAUACUAAUCCUAAAUUAUGCCCCAAUGCUUUACCCGAUGCCCCGGGAUUUCAUCGCGAACGUCUUCUGAAAACAAGAUAUCUCGGGACAUUCCCUGGUGAAUGAAUACAAAUGAUCACGGGGCAUUCCCCGACUAAAUGAAUACAUUUCCAAAUGCGAGAAAAUCAAACUAUUUGAUAAAAUUUCAAACAUUCCACGGAAUUACCAACAUUCAACCAAAGCCACAAAUUCUAAACUUUGCCUACCCAACCUACGUUUGCCUACCCCGCUCGACCUAUCAUGAUACUAUUAUGUUCAACAAUAUCAAUAUUUAUUCUGAAUUAAACAAAACAACAAUAAAUAAAAAUUAAUCCAAUUCGCCCUUUUAUUAGUUUUUCAAUUCCAUCUUCCCCAAUUUCAUUGUCAACCACAUAAUUACUCAAUUUUGAUAUAAAAUCAACUAAUAAAGCCACGAUAAUUAUAGAAACCCAAUCACAAUCACAAUUAUAUCAUCAACCACCACAAAAAUAUAAAGAAAUAGAGUUAAAAAGUGGACCUUAAUUUAACGCUUUAUUUAAAUUAAUUGAUCUUUCCGAAUAGAACUGCGUCCAAGAUCUUGAACCGAACCUCAACACGAAUACUCGCCAAUCGAACAACCCAUCUAUCCAACAUGAUCCUAUUCUUUCACCAAUUCAAACUAAAAUUGCUAAGAGAGAAUGACCCAUACCAAACUUUAUACGAACGGGUUUGUUUUUUAUCGUGUUGCGAGGAAUUUAACCGGAAAAGGGUCGUUAUCCGGUGGAUUUGGGGAUUCGGAUCUGUGGUGGCUGAGAGAGGGACAAAAUCCAGCAAAAAAUUCACCGAAAACACCCAAGACUAACUGAUUUUGACUCCUUUAUUUCCCUGAUUUCCGAUCGCUCUUUGUUUUUCCCUUUUCCGUUUCUGUUUUAGAUGCCAGUCAUUGUGUGUGCGCACACCGUUGUAUGUAUUUUACGGUGAAGUGUUUUUCCCAAUGAAGUCCCCAGGUAGGUCAGUGCGUGCAGAUGGGUAGGUAUAUUCGGUCAAGGAAAUAUGGUGGUGCGUGUGUAUAUGUAUUCUGUUGUUUUUAGAAAAAGGAAAGAAAAAUAGAAAUUUUGUCUAGUGUGUUAAUGGCAAAGAAAAAAUGGAGGAUCUCUGGUCCCUUCUUCUUCCUUUAUCAGCUUUGUGUGUAUGUAUGUAUGGUGAUGGUAUCAAUUUAUUGGGGGUGGUCUCCUCCUGAAGAUGCUCUCCUCUUUCUUUCUAUUGUGGUCUAUGUGUAUAUUAGGAUGGGGUAGUGGGAUAGGGGUGCACGUGAGUAGGGGUGAGGUGGUGAGGUGUCUGCUUUUAAUUGGAGAGGUUGUUAAGAUAGGAUUAAAAUAAGGUAAAAAUUAUUAAGGGUUGUUAUUUUUGUCAGUUUAUGGAGGGAUAAUUACAUGGUUGAUGGUACACGAUAGGAAAAGGUAAUAAUGUGAAAAAUAAUCUUUCGGAGGGACAAAAUUAGGUGUCUACAUCAUGCCCCCUUUGAAUGUAAACACGAAGUGUUUUCAGAUAAAGAAGUAGACAACAAGACAGAAUUUUGUCCCGACCAUUAUUCAAAGAAAGAAACAGAAAGAAUAAAAACAAUCGAGUUCUGACUUAAGCCAUCCUACCCACCCAAGUUAUGGAGGAAUCAAGUGACGGUGUCUCAAAGGAUUGGAAGGAAAUGGACUAUACCGAGUUGGAGAGUCGAGUGAGGUUCCAUCGAGGUUCUAUUCCGCGGCUCUAUCAUUACAUCAAAAUGAAAAUUAUAAGUUAAAACAUAAAUGAAAUUACAAAAUCCUAUCUAUACAGCUUCUGUUGGACUCCUGACUUAAGUUACAUCACCCUAUUCUUCAGACGGGCUCCUGACUUGCAAUUUCAUCAUUUGUUGCUUUGUCUUUAAUUACUUCACCUUAUUGCUUAACUUUUCAUUUAUUCGGCCUGUGCUUUGGGCGGGCUCCUGACUUGCCAUUUCAUUAUCUUGUUCUUCAGGCGGGCUCCUGUCUUGCAAUUUCAUCAUCCUGUUCUUCAGGUGGGCUCCUGACUUGCAAUUUCGUCACCCUGUUCUUCAGGUGGGAUCCUAACUUGCUAUUUCAUCAAUCUGUUAACUUUCAAUUUCUUUACCUUGUUGCUUGACUUUCAACUUCUUCACCAUGCUGCUUGACUUUUCAUUUAUUCGCCCUGCUCUUCAGGCGGGCUCCUAAAAUCUCAUCAAAACUAAAAAGAAAAUUAUCCUAAACAAAGAUUAUUAUAAAUAGAUUUCAUAUGCCAGGAAAGUGAAGUUCCAACACAAGAAUUAAAUUUUGCCCUAGUUUAUCAUCAAAGGACUUUUGUGAAAGUCACAUAAUUAUAGGACUCAAGGAGAAUGACUCGACUAUAAGGUGUUCCUAAUAGGAAUCAAAGGAAUUGACUCGACUAAAAGGUAUUUCUUCUAGGGGUCAAGGAAAAUGACUUGACUAAAAUGUACGUCUUCUAGGGGCCAAACGGAAUGACUCGAUUAAAAAGUACAUCUUAUAGGAAUCAAAGGGAAUAACUCGACUAAAAGAUACAUCUUAUAGGAAUCAAAGAAGAUGACUCGACUAAAAGGUAUGUCUUAUAGGAAUCAAAGGGAAUGACUCGAAUAAAAGGUACGACUUUUAGAGGUUAAAGGAAAUGACUCGACUAAAAGGUACAUCUUAUAGGAAUAAGUGGAAUGACUCGACUAAAAGGUACGUCUUCUAGGAAUCAAAGGAGAUGACUCGACUAAAAGGUACGUCUUCUAGGAAUCAAAGGAGAUGACUCGACAAAAAGGUACGUCUUAUAGGGGUCAAAGGAAGAUGACUUGACUAAAAGGUACGUAUUCUAGGGGUCAAAGGGAAGAUGACUCAACUAAAAGGUACGUCUUCUAGUGGUCAAGGGGAAUGAAUCGACUAAAAAUUAUAUCUUAUAGGAAUCAAGGGGAAUGACUCAACUAAAAGGUACGUCUUAUAGGAAUCAAGGGAGAUGACUCGACUAAAAGGUAUGUCUUAUAGGAAUCAAGGGAGAUGACUUGACUAAAAGGUACGUCUUAUAAGAAUCAAAGGGGAUGACUCGACUAAACGGUACGUCUUAUAGGAAUCAAGGGAGAUGACUCGACUAAAAAGUACGUCUUAUAGGGGUCAAAGAAAGAUGACUCAAAUAAAAGGUACGUCUUAUAGGAAUCAUGGGGGAUGACUUGACCAAAGGUACAUCUUAUAAGAAUCAAAGAAAUUGACUCGACUAAAAGGUACGUUUUCUAGGAAUCAAAAAGGAAUGACUCGACUAAAAGGUACGUCUCUUAGGAAUCAAAGGGGAUGACUCGACUAAAAGGUACGUCUUAUAGGAAUCAUGGGGGAUGACUCGACUAAAAGGUACGUCUUAUAGGAAUCAAAGGAAUUAACUCAACUAAAAGGUACGUCUUCUAGGAAUAAAAAAAAUAAAUCCACUAAAAGGUACAUCUUGUAGGAAUCAAAGGGAGAUGACUCGACUAAAAGGUACGUCUUUUAGGAGUGAAGGUUCAAUUUAAGAAGUGUAUCACCCAGAAAAUGAAAACUGAAAUCCCUAGACAAGAAAGUGUGUCUCCGAGGGAUAUAAGAUGAUGAAUUUUACCAGGAUUUCAUUACCAAACCUGUGCAGCAACAUUGCUUCCUGCAUUUGUAAAAGUGAGAAAUUAUAGGCCUUUAUGUUUAGGCUUUGAAAUGCUUGAUUUGAAGGUAACAUGUGUUCCUGUUUAAUGCAAAAAAAGGUUGUGAGUUUAAAAACAUGGUGGCUGGUUUGUGGCUUUGGCUUUCGUGGCAAACGCUCUUGCCGUCAUCACAUUUAAUCUUGCUUCCAACCAUUAUCCUAUGUCAUUGACUUACUACUUCAUUGACCAAACUCAGAUUAUUAAGAGUGAUUAAGACAAACACAGCAUCUCUGCUUUGCCAUGCUUCUCAGAUAGACCUUUGAACCUUGGUAUUUCCAUGAGUUCCCUGACUUCUCUGUUGACAAAAAUUUCUGCAUGCCCUUUUUUGGCUCAUAAUCAUGUCUCUUUUAUGUGCUAGUUUUUCUCUUGAUUUGUGCAAUUAAAGAAGCUGGUAGCCAGUUUUGAAAUCUUUUCUCACUUGUUUUGACACAAACUUGACUCAAAGACAAGAAAUGAAAAAAAAGAAUGACAAUUUUUGUUUGGAUAACUGACUCAAGAAAGAUAAAAUAAAUAUAAAGAAAAGACAAUGAAUGUCCCCUUUUGAAACGAAGAAAUGAAAUAUUCAUCUAAAAAUGACAGUCAACACUAAUGAUUAUGCCAUGCAUUUUGGAUUAAGCAGCUUGAUCUUUUCAUCCAAAAUUUCUACCCAUUGUUGUUGAGUUAAUGGCCUUGAAACUGAGUUGCUUCCUUAGGUCAAUUGUAUUUAAGACCCCAUUCGGCUAGUGGCGCCUUGAAGGGUUUUCACUAACAAGCUUCUCUCAUUUUCUUUUCCUCAGCUCACCAUUGCCUUAUGGUGUAUCUAAGGGCUUUCCACUAAUGAGACUCUCUUAUCUUCAUUUCCCUUGACUCACAUUCGUCUUACGGUGCCCGUGAGAGUUUUCACCGAUAAGACUCUCUCAUUUUUAUCUCUCUCAACUUACCAUCAUCUUACGGUGCUCGUGAGGGUUUUUACCAAUAAGAAUCUCUCAUUUUUAUUUCUCUCCUGAUUUUUUAUGCUGAGGAAGAUAAGUAGCUCCCAGAUGCAUCAUCAUAUCUCUUCCAUGCUUAGCCUUAACAUCCUCAAAAAUUGAUGUGAAGGUCUUUCUUUGGUUGUAACCUGGCUUUUGGAUAGGGUUAGAAAGAAAGAAUGGCAUGGGGACCAAACGAAACUUGAAGUGGAGUGGGACUUACAACUUUUGAAAUUGACUCAAAUAAUGAGGAUUAACUCAUACCCCAGUUUCUUUUGACUGGGUAAUUCUAAAUUAUUUAUUUGGUUGGACCGAGCCCAGAGUAGGGCAGCCUACGUAUCUCACCCCCGAGAGAGAAGAAUCAGGUCACGCAUAAUUCUGGCAGCUCGUUCUUUGCUUGAUUUUGAUUCUUUUCUCUCUUUUUUUUCUUUUAUUGACUCUUUUCGUUUUGGGAUUUUUCUGACUAUAUUUUUAUUGAUACUCUUCUCAUUUCUUUCCUUUUGACACUUUUUUUCUGAAACUUUUCUGACUUUAUUCUUUUGCUCGACACUUUUAUUUUGAGCUUUGUUGACUCUAUAUUGAUUUCAAAAGAGGUGUAUGAAAGAAAAUAAAACUAAGACUCAAAUAGGAUAAACAAAGGAUGACAUAAUGUUUGGAUAACAGAAUGAAAUGCCUUCGUCAUAUCAAUCUUUGAAAAUGCAAGUACAUAACAUGCAAUUUGAAAGUUGGAAAUAAAGAUCACGUGCGACAUAUUUUACAACAUUAAAUUUGACUGAGUCUUUUCGUCACUACUUCUUCUGCUCUUUUCUAGCAUACAACUCUACUUUUGUUGUACAUUUCUUACAUUGAAUGACUCAUGAUUUUGUGGAGCUGAUUUUAUUUCUGUUCCUCUUGAUAUAGGAUCCUACAUCCACUGUUUGACCUAAUUGAGGCAUGCCUUACAAUUGAUGACCAAGUUAUUCUGGUGAUUCUCAAAACAAUUGCCUUAAUUUUGAAAGAAGGUUUCAACAUGGUCACCAAAUGUCUUAACACGCUACCUAUUUCUCACAUGCUUUUUCUAACUUUAGGCCUCUGAUUCAAAGUUUAUGCUCAAAUUGGAUUUUAAGAUCUAGCAAAGAAUUCCGCUAGCAUGUCAUAUCACUAAAGCCAACAUAAAAUGUACUAUGUAAAUAAAACAAACAAAUAACAUAUAUGUAAACACAAAGGAAAAAGGGACACUCUAUUUAGUUGAAAUAAAAGAUAGAAAAGGUUUGACCAUAAAUGACAAAAGGGAUAAAUCAAGAUAGAUCUCGAACUACCACCCUGAAAUAAUUGGGAUAACAGAAAAGAAAACAAAACAAAUUAUCAUACCUCUUCCUAGUAGGGAGAGGGGUGACUUCUCAAUUGCUCAGCCUGACAUAUUAGCCACUGAUUUGCAUAUUAGCAUGACUAGAGCUUCCACCACUGUCAGACACAUUUCCUUCAACAAAUAAGUUCUGGAUCCCUAUGCUUAACUCAUUGCCUCCCACAUAUUGUGCAUUACCGCGUGCUGGUGAAAAACUCAGUGGGAUGGUCGAGGGGCCAAUGUUUUGCACCACAAUCAACUUAUCUUGAAUCAUCCUUUCUAUUUCUCUUUUCAAAGUACGACAAUCUUCAGUACUAUGACCCUGAAAAUUAGAAUGAUAUGCACACCAUACAUUAGGAUCAAAAUUUCUUGAAUGUGGGUCAGGUAUAUACCCAAGGAGAGAAGUAAUCAUGCCCCUAUGUCUCAAUCUCUGGAAUAAACUGGCAUAGGACUCCCUAAUAGGAGUAAAAUUAUCCUUUUCCUUUAUCCUCUUUGCGAACUCUGGCCUUGGAUGAAAAUUGAAUUUAGAGGUUCCUUGGUAAAUUUAUGGGGGUCGAGGACGAUGUUGAGGGACAGGUGCAUGCCAUUGUGGAUAAGAAGACGGAUGGGUACACAAUUAUGCAUUGUUCAAAGGACAUUGAGGAAGUGGAAUGGAACUCCUUGGAUUUUGAAAAGAGGAACCUUAUUACAGAUGAAUAAGUGGAUUUGAUAUGUAAGCUCGGGAUUGAGGCUGACAGUAUUGGUGAGUUGGACCUCUCAAACUCUGCUUUGGCCCAGGCACGACAACAGAUGUGUUUUCCUUCUUCUUUCUUUCAGUUUCCUUUGAAUGAUUGCAAUAUCGUCCCAAAUGUUUCACAGAAUCAUUCUGUCCACCAAGCUUCUUAAAUUUUGAUGUCUCAAAGCUUGGAGAAAGGUUAACACUUGAAAACAUUCAUAAGUCCUUAUAUGAGACACUUUUGUAACCCCCAAGUCCUUGCAAGUUCUUCAUAGCCAGUUCUAAACUUCUCAAUUUUCUGGUCAUUUCCUCUUGUUCUUCUGUCAUAACAGGCUUCUCAGUGUUAGGAGGAAAUUCAGGCGGGUGAGUGUCACCAUAAAGACCAGUCAACUUGAAUGUAGGCUCGAAAGUAUAACGCUGAUCACCAGUAAUAUUCAAUACAGGAUCUCUUGUAGAGUAGGGAGGAACAACUUGUGGAUGAACAUCAAAAAUAGGAGCUUCGGGUGGGGGUGGCACCAUAAAAGCAUGAGCAGCAGGUGGAGCCGAGUAUGUGGUAGUCUUGGAUUGGGGAGUGAGAAAAUGAACAUUGGAAGUGGUUGGAUAUUGUUGCCCCAGAGUCGAUCCUGAUGCAUGUUGUGGCAUAUCAACAAAAAUGGGAAAUUGUGCAUAUGACAUGGGAGGCAAGCUAGAAAGAUAUUCCAGAUUAUCAGUGGGAACUCGCGGAGAAGGCAACCCAUUAGCCCAAGCUCGAUGCAUUUCUAUCACUUGCUGCCUUAAUUUCUGAAUCUCUGCAUUAUCUCCUAAAUUCUCAUUUCUCGAACUCCCUAUCUAAUUAGUGACAACAAACUCGGUAUCCUUGUUGGCCAUAACCUUCUCUGUGACUUGGUGCAAUAUGGAGGACCAGCCAAAAUGCCACAAACCAACCACCUCAAACUAACUGAACAAGAGAUAGCAAAUGCGUUAGAGUUCAACACUUUCUCAAAAUCUCUCCUUUUUUUUAAAGAUCACCGAACCCAAGGGCGUCUACGUAUCUCACUCCCGAGAGAGGAGAAUCAGGUGUGCGUAGUUCGUGAAGUCUUUCCAAAAUAGCCAAAUUAAACUCUUUUUCUUUUUUUUUUUCUGAAACUUUAAGAAGAAAAGAAAAUAACAAUUUGUCAAAAGAAUUGAAGAAAAUCUUUUUGGGUUUUCAAUUUUGCAUUUCAUACGAAAAUGAAACUUGAACCUAUUAAAGGAAAAUCUUUUUGUAGUUUUCUUUAUUUAUGCAUAUGACACCUACUUUAAAUAAAGAGUGAAGAAAAAUAUUUUUAGAUUUUUAAAAUAAAAUCUCCGAACCAACAAUAGGCUGCCUACGUAUCUCACUCCCAAGAGAGGAGAAUCAGGGGUGUGUAGUUCGUCCAGAUAGGACAAUUAAGGAUUAAAUGACAAACUAAACCCUGAAUUGAGAGACACAACUAAAGACAGACGAAUAAAAUCUUUUUGGAUUUUUAAUUAGAAACUAACACCAACAACUAUGAAAGAAAAAAAAAUCUUUUUGAUAUUUUCGUUAUAUGAAAAUGUACAAAGCUCCUAUUGAAAGGAAAAAAUAUUUUUGGAGUUUUCGAAUUGUGAAUACUUACUAAAGAAAUAAAAGGAAAAUCUUUUUAACGUUUUUGAUUUUUUGGGAAAUGAGUGCAAAAAGUAAAAAAAAAUAUUUUUUUUUAAUUUUUAAAUUGUGAAAAACAAAAGUCAUAAAGAACCCUAAAAACUACCAAAUCUUUUUUUUUCACUCUUUUUUUUCUUCCUUUUUUAAACAAUUUCCUUCCUACACACGUUGUUUCUAACUCAUGCUUUUGCCCAAAUCAGUCUGUCAAAUGACCUUGUUACCCUCACAGAUGCAACAUUUAGCACGUAGGGAUGCUUUAGAGGUGAGUAUCCUACAAAGGAUCAAGUGGGCCCCGCUAGGUCUUCAAUAUGUGCACAUAAGCAUGACCUAAAGGCUAACCUACAUUGGGGUUCACUAACAAGGUUGUUUGGGAGAGCGUAUGGUCGAUAGUGGUUGUUUUGCUUUCCACCUACUCCAUAACACCGACGGCUCCUCUCCUAAAAUAAGGGUGACUCAACUAGAGGCCGUGUACAACAAGUGUACGACGGACUUGUUGCAGAAAGAAUGACUCGGGUUAUCCACAUGAUGCCAAAUAUAAAUCGGUAACACAUAAGAUAAAAACUGUAAACAAAGAGCACGUAGGCACUCAAUAGUGAUAGUACAAUAACACAAAACAACACAAACAAAAUGUCUAUACACCUAUAGUGCCAAACUAAACCGAUACAACUCCAAAAUAAGCUCGAAUUCUGAAAAAUCCCCAGUAGAGUCGCCAGAGCUGUAUCACCCCUUUUUUAACUCCAAAAGAUUUGAUUUUGAGUUUCGAAAGGGUUUUUAUUAUUAAAGUGACAAAAAAUGAAAAUUUGUUUCAAAAAAGAAUUAUUACUAUUUUUUGAUACAGAGUCGCCACUUGGCAUAAUCCGGUGUGCCAAGUCACCUUUGAAAAAUCCUUUUCAAAAACUGUUUUGACUCUUUAAAAUUGGUUUACGAACAGAGAUUCCAGCUAAGGAAUUCUGUUGACCGAGAAAAAGGUGUUAGGUACCCCUCGAUCCCGUGGUUUGACCACGGUCACUUGGUGGAGUGUAUCGGCUAAUUUUGACACUAUGAAUGCAUAAACCACACAAAAUCACACAAAAUAAACAAUUAAACAAACAAAUAAAAUAAAUCCAAAAUUAUAGUGUCUAGUCCAAUUAUUACAACCCGAAAUAAAAAAGGUACUGAAAAGUAAACUUAUACUAAUCCUAAAUUACGCCCCAAUGCUUUACCCGAUUCCCCAAGCUUUCAUCGCGAACGUAUUCCGAAUACAAGAUAUCUCGAGACAUUCCUCAGUGAAUGAAUACAAAUGACCACGGGGCAUUCCCCGACUAAAUGAAUACAUUUCCAAAUGCGAGAAAAUCAAACUAUUCGACAAAAUUUCCAACAUUUCACGAAAUUACCAACAUUCAACCAAAGCCACAAAUUCUAAACUUUGCCUACCCAACCUACGUUUGCCUACCCCUCUUGACCUAUCAUGAUACUAUUAUGUUCAACGAUAUCAAUAUUUAUUCUGAAUUAAACAAAACAACAAUAAGUCAAAAUUAAUCCAAUUUGCCCUUUUAUCAGUUUUUCAAUUAGGUCUUUCCCAAUCUCAUUGUCAACCACAUAAUUACUCAAUUUCGAUAUAAAAUCAACUAAUCAAGCCACGAUAAUUAUAGAAACCCAAUCACAAUCACAAUUAUAUCAUCAACCACCACAAAAAUAUAAAGAAAUAGAGUUAAAAAUUGGACCUUAAUUUGACGCUUUAUUUCAAUUAAUUGAUCUUUCCGAAUAGAACUGCGUUCAAGAUCUCGAACCAAGCCUCAACACGAAUACUCUCCAAUCGAACAACCCAGCUAUCCAACCCGAUCCUAUUCUUUCACCAAUUCAAACUAAAAUUGCUAAGAGAGAAUGACCCGCACCAAACUUUAUACGAAUGGGUUUGUUUUCGAUCGUGUUGCGAGGAAUUUGACUGGAAAAGGGUCGCUCUCAGGUGGAUUUUGGGGAUUCGAAUCUGUGGUGGCUGAGAGAGGGACAAAAUCCGGCGAAAAAUUCACCGGAAACACCCAAGACUAGCCGAUUUUGACUCCCUUCUUUCCUCGAUUUCCGAUCACUCUUUUUUUUUCUUUUCCAUUUCUGUUUUAGAUGCCAUUCGUGUGUGUGCGCCGUUGUAUGCAUUUUUCGGUGAAGUGCGUUUUCCAGUGAAGUCCCCAGUUGGGUCGAUGCGUGCAGGUGGGUAGGUAUAUUCGGUCAAGGAGAUAUAGUGGUGCGUGUGUAUAUGUAUUCGGUUGUUUUUAGAAAAAGGAAAGAAAAAUGAAAUUCUGUCUAGUGUGUUAAUUGCAAAGGAAAAAUGGAGGAUCUCUGGUCCCUUCUUCUUCCUUUAUCAGUUUUGUGUGUAUGUAUGUAUGG